rnacentral:rRNA from 1 species
AGAGUUUGAUCAUGGCUCAGAUUGAACGCUGGCGGCAGGCCUAACACAUGCAAGUCGAGCGGUAGAGAGAAGCUUGCUUCUCUUGAGAGCGGCGGACGGGUGAGUAAUGCCUAGGAAUCUGCCUGGUAGUGGGGGAUAACGUUCGGAAACGGACGCUAAUACCGCAUACGUCCUACGGGAGAAAGCAGGGGACCUUCGGGCCUUGCGCUAUCAGAUGAGCCUAGGUCGGAUUAGCUAGUUGGUGAGGUAAUGGCUCACCAAGGCGACGAUCCGUAACUGGUCUGAGAGGAUGAUCAGUCACACUGGAACUGAGACACGGUCCAGACUCCUACGGGAGGCAGCAGUGGGGAAUAUUGGACAAUGGGCGAAAGCCUGAUCCAGCCAUGCCGCGUGUGUGAAGAAGGUCUUCGGAUUGUAAAGCACUUUAAGUUGGGAGGAAGGGUUGUAGAUUAAUACUCUGCAAUUUUGACGUUACCGACGGAAUAAGCACCGGCUAACUCUGUGCCAGCAGCCGCGGUAAUACAGAGGGUGCAAGCGUUAAUCGGAAUUACUGGGCGUAAAGCGCGCGUAGGUGGUUUGUUAAGUUGGAUGUGAAAUCCCCGGGCUCAACCUGGGAACUGCAUUCAAAACUGACUGACUAGAGUAUGGUAGAGGGUGGUGGAAUUUCCUGUGUAGCGGUGAAAUGCGUAGAUAUAGGAAGGAACACCAGUGGCGAAGGCGACCACCUGGACUAAUACGCACACCGAGGUGCGAAAGCGUGGGGAGCAAACAG